AUUGUUACAUUGUUGCAAUUAUUAAGCUAGUUGCAAGUUAACUUACCUGUAUAUGACUUUAACAUUAUUAAAGCUUAUAAAAUAACAUACAACAGCCACAAUGGUGAAUUUUGUGUUUGCUAGCAGGCAGUCCUCCACUCCAUAGUCCAUGGUUUCCUUUCUUUGCACAGUUACGAUAAUUGCCCCAUCCUAAGCAAUAAACAUACUCCUUGUGUCUCAGACGACCACGCCUGGCUUUAGCAGUGAGCUGGAUGUUUUAUCAGUACAAUCUUGGCAAAGUUGCAAUCAGCAGCUUUCAUGAAAUGCUUUGGUUUUCUCUCUCUGAUUUGGCCUUGGGGAUGAUCGUAAACUUUCUGUCAGAUUGGAUUUCAUUACCCCAAAUUAAAGUACAAUUGAAUUUUAACUAGUCUUACUAAGUUUUUUUUGUAUGGUGUGAUGGGUUUUAUGGAAAAAGAACUCCUUAGGCUUUGAAAUCUACAUAUAAUAAACAGUGCUGUGUU
rnacentral:lncRNA from 1 species